rnacentral:rRNA from 1 species
GGGUGACUGCGUACCUUUUGUAUAAUGGGUCAGCGACUUAUAUUUUGUAGCGAGGUUAACCGAAUAGGGGAGCCGAAGGGAAACCGAGUCUUAACUGGGCGAAUAGUUGCAAGGUAUAGACCCGAAACCCGGUGAUCUAGCCAUGGGCAGGUUGAAGGUUGGGUAACACUAACUGGAGGACCGAACCGACUAAUGUUGAAAAAUUAGCGGAUGACUUGUGGCUGGGGGUG